UGGGCUAGAGAAAGAAAGGGGAAACCCUCAAGCAUUUGCAAUUCAGCAAAAUUGAAAGGAGAAUUGAGAUUAAACUUGAUGCAUGAAUCCUAAUAUAUGAUCAUCUAAGCUUGCUUAACAAGUGGUAAGUUGCAAUUUUCGAUUCGGUUGAUUUUUGACAUGGCAUAAUAAAAGAAGGUCCAAGCAACCGGAAACCUCAAAGCUCGCAAGACC
rnacentral:lncRNA from 1 species